UACGUAGGGGGCGAGCGUUGUCCGGAAUCAUUGGGCGUAAAGCGCGUGUAGGCGGCUCGAUAAGUCCGGUGUGAAACCUUGGGGCUCAACCCCAAGCCUGCACUGGAUACUGCCGAGCUAGAGUCCGGGAGGGGAGAGCGGAAUUCCUAGUGUAGCGGUGAAAUGCGCAGAUAUUAGGAAGAACACCGGUGGCGAAGGCGGCUCUCUGGAACGGUACUGACGCUAAGGCGCGAAAGCGUGGGGAGCAAACAGG
rnacentral:rRNA from 1 species